GAUGAACGCUGGCGGCGUGACAUAACACAUUCAAGUCGAACGAGGUAGCAAUACCUAGUGGCGGACGGGUGAGUAACGCGUGAGCAACCUGCCCUUGUGUGGGGGAUACCGUCUGGAAACGGACGUUAAUACCGCAUAACAUAAGAGGACCGCAUGAUCCUCUUAUCAAAGAUUUAUUGCGCAAGGAUGGGCUCGCGUUGGAUUAGAUAGUUGGUGAGGUAACGGCCCACCAAGUCUGCGAUCCAUAGCCGGACUGAGAGGUUGAACGGCCACAUUGGAACUGAGAUACGGUCCAGACUCCUACGGGAGGCAGCAGUGGGGAAUAUUGGGCAAUGGGCGAAAGCCUGACCCAGCAACGCCGCGUGAAGGAAGAAGGCCUUCGGGUUGUAAACUUCUUUUACCAGGGACGAACACAAUGACGGUACCUGGAGAAAAAGCAACGGCUAACUACGUG
rnacentral:rRNA from 1 species